AACGAACGCUGGCGGCAUGCCUAAUACAUGCAAGUCGAACGAGACCUUCGGGUCCUGUGGCGCACGGGUGCGUCGCGGGCGGGAACAUGCCCUUAGGUUCGGCCUAACUAUCCGACAGGGGUGAUAAUACCGGACCAUGUCUUCGGACCAAAGAUUUAUCGCCGUUGGGUGGGCCCGCGUUGGAUACGCUCGUUGGUAGGGUAAAAGCCUACCAAGGCGACCAUUCAGAAGUGGUCUGAGAGGAUGAUCAGCCACACUGGGAUUGAGACACGGCCCAGACUCCUACGGGAGGCAGCAGUGCCUAAUAUAGGACAAUGGGCGAAAGCCUGAUCAAGCUAUGCCGCGUGAGUGAUGAUGGCCUUAGAGUAGUAAUGCUCUUUUACCCGUGAUGAUAAUGACAGUACCGGGAGAAUAAGCGCCGGCUAACUCCGUG
rnacentral:rRNA from 1 species